ACUGAACGCUGGCGGCAUGCCUAACACAUGCAAGUCGAUCGAACAUAUGAAGCGCCUGGUCCUUUCACGUAAGCGGCGCCAGCGUGAGUAACACGUCUAUAACCCACCUAUACAACUGCGAUUACUUCCACAAACCGGCGGAUAAACCGGAUAAUCUUUUCAACCGCAUGGUCCAAUACCCAAAGCCCGUUUUCCUGUCCCUUAUCCUUGGACCCCCGCGGCAUUAGCUAGUUGGUAAGUUAACCUCUUACUAAGGCAAUGACUCCUAGCCGACCUGAGAGGGUGACCGGCCACACUGGAACUGAGACACGGUCCAGACUCCUACGGGAGGCAGCAGUCGGGAAUCUUGCGAAAUGGGCGCAAGCCUGACGCAGCCAUGCCGCGAGCAUGAUGAAGGUCUUCGGCUGGUAAAACUCUGUCAGCAGGGACGAACAAAGGUGUACUUAAAUAUGCACGUAUUGACGGUACCCAGUCAAAAAGCCAGGGCUAACUACGUG
rnacentral:rRNA from 1 species